AUUUAAGAGCUUCUGAGGUCUUCAGAAGGGGUCUGCCUUUUCCCUUGCCAUUUGGGUGUCCCUGAGUCCAAGGUCAACACUGCAGGGUGUAGGCAGGGUCUUGGCAACUCACCACCCUCCCCACGGCCCCCGCCUUGGGGGUCUCUGCCCCUGCAACAGGGCCUGGGCUCUGAGGAGCAGGUCUCGUUGCCAGGCGCCAGGGUGUGAGGCGUCAGAUCCGGGGCACCCCUGGCAUUCUAAUCCACCAAGGGUUCCAGCAGGCGCCAAGUCUCUGGUAUCAGGGGAAAUGACCUCAGAGCUUUGGACGUGGCUGGCAGGCCGCUGCCUGGACUUAAAGGUCCCCAAGCAGGCACCUGUCACCCUGUCUCAUCCUUUCUCUGCCUCGGACCUUCUUCUGCCUCAGCCAAGGAUCUGGGAAAAGAAACAGGCUUCUAGGGUAGAGUAAGAGCCCAGAUUUUCAAAGCCCCCAUUUGAGAAGACAAGGUGGUCAUCUGGAAGAGCCAGGAAGACAACUCUCACCAGAAACUAAAUCUGUCAUCACCUUGAUCUUGGACUUCCAGCCUCCAGAACUGUGAGAAAUAAAUGUCUAUUGCUUUAA